rnacentral:rRNA from 1 species
GACGAACGCUGGCGGCGUGCUUAACACAUGCAAGUCGAACGGAAAGGCCCUGCUUUUGUGGGGUGCUCGAGUGGCGAACGGGUGAGUAACACGUGAGUAACCUGCCCUUGACUUUGGGAUAACUUCAGGAAACUGGGGCUAAUACCGGAUAGGAGCUCCUGCUGCAUGGUGGGGGUUGGAAAGUUUCGGCGGUUGGGGAUGGACUCGCGGCUUAUCAGCUUGUUGGUGGGGUAGUGGCUUACCAAGGCUUUGACGGGUGGCCGGCCUGAGAGGGUGACCGGCCACAGUGGGACUGAGAUACGGCCCAGACUCCGACGGGAGGCAGCAGUGGGGAAUAUUGCACAAUGGGCGGAAGCCUGAUGCAGCAACGCCGCGUGCGGGAUGACGGCCUUCGGGUUGUAAACCGCUUUCGCCUGUGACGAAGCGUGAGUGACGGUAAUGGGUAAAGAAGCACCGGCUAACUACGUGC